GUACUUGAGGGUGGCUAGAUUUGUCUUUAUUGUUCUGAUGAUAUACACUUAUUCAAAUAGCUAAAUAGGUUGUAUAUUUGUUAGCAUAAAGGCUUUUAUGGGGCAUGUUAAGCUGUGAUCUGAAGUCACAUGAUUUUGAGACAUUUAAGCACUCAACUGAGUUUUAUGUUAAUUUAGCCUAGUCUAAUUGUUUUAGAAUUGUUCGGUUAAGGUUUUAUUUUGUAGCAAACCAAGAUGACAUACUGUGUGCUGCUCACUGACUUCUCUGAGAAUGAGAGACUACUAUAGUUCUUUAUAUUUGGUAUUCAAUGCUUACAUUUUUGAAAUGAACAAGUAAUAGUAAGUAGUGCUGUUGACAUAUUUAUAGUAAAUGAGUAGAAUAUGAAUGAAUAUAUAAAAAUGUAUGCCAAUGCUACUCUGAGUUGUUACAACCAAUCAUGAAUUAGUAAUGCAUACAUUGUCAUUGAUUUAGUUAUGAUGACUUACAUAUUCCUCACUUAAAGGAAAAAGAGGAACAAGUCUAAUGACGCUUGAAGACCGUAGGGGAGAUUCUAAACCAGGUUCAGAAAGUUCACGGGGGAGGGAGGAGCUAACUGGAUGGAAUAGGGAAACUGAAGAAGUGAUAAAAUGAGCUGUGUGUAUUAAUUUUCAGAACUCUUCUUAACUAAAAUGCUAGUUAAUCAUUGACCCUUUUGGAAGGUGUUCCCAUGGUUAUAGGUAAGCUUCAAUAGGGCUGUUCUUUUGAGUGUUCUGUCAGUGUCAAUGGAUAGUGAUGAAUGUGAAGCUGUCCUGGAUUCAGCUGGGACAGAGUUAAUUUUCUUCACAGUGUAUGGCAUGAUGCUAUGUUUUGGCUUUAGGAGAAAAACAAUGUUGAUGACACACUGACUUUUUAAUUAUUGCCAAGGACACUGCAACUUUUAAGCUUUUUGUAUUGUCCUGCCAGUGAAUGAGCUGGGAUUGCACAAGAAGCUGAGAGGUCAGAGAACCAGGACAGCUGACCUAAAGUGGCCAAAGGGAUAUUCCAUGCCAUAUGACAUCAUGAGAAAAACUAUAAAACUGACAGGAGGUGGCUGAGGGUCAGCUGCUGCUCGAGGACUGGCUAGGCAUGGGUCAAUGGUGAGGUAUGAAAUGUGCAGAAAGAUUUCAGCCACUGUCCAGAUGAGCACAUUGUCACCUGGCUGUUCUGAUGCUGCAAUAAUGGCACCUAUAGACUGGAUUUAGUGGUCAUGGAAGCCAGACAACUAGGAUCUUCCCUAGGGAACAGGACACUGACAAAGCAAUUGCAAAAAAAAUGGAAAAUCUCUCUCCACCUGGAUGUGACUCCUGUUACCCAUGAAAGAAAGGUAUCCCAACAAGGAAGAUAUUAGGUCAGCAGGACAAGUGGAUCCAGUAUAUGAGGAAAUUAGCUGUGAUGGAGGUGGUAUAUAAUGUUGACCUGAACAAUGAUAAAUUUUCCCCAAAUUCAUAUAUCAUCAAGUGCACACAAUCCAUGUAGUGGAAGUUCGUACAGAGUACACCAUCACUGCAUGCCAACUUUUUGGGAGUAAUGACUUGGAAAGAUGGAGAAGAACAAACAGUGAAUGAAUUGGAUGACCAACACCAACAAUACAAAGGAAGUCUCUCUUCCUCCCUACAGGCCUCAAUUUCAACUCAGGAGAAAAUGUCCUGUGAGUUCCAGCCUAUUGUCCAAAGACAAUAGGCCUUACUCCUCACUAGUAUGGACCAGCAUCUCAGCUACUAGAAGUAAGUGUUCUUCUGUUAAAGAGAGAAGACAUGGUGGGUAUAUAACACAUGACACCCUGUGGUUUUACCUGCAUGACCACAGGGAGGAUAUGAGGAAAUGGAAUGGAAAACCCACCUCAACCCUAGAGGAAUGAAUACAUGAUAUGAACCCUCACAAAAAAGGGUUCUUCCAAGAAAAUGACCACUCCAGUUUCCAGUGUGCAGCUCUCUAAACUGAAUAGAUAUUUUGAUCUUAUUUCUGAGUUUAAUAACAAAUAUUUUGGUUGGCAUUCAUGAGAAGUGAGUAAUGAAUAUGGUAACCAGGACUAGAAAGGACCUGCCUCCAUCCAGGUGAAGAGACAAUCAGUUAUAUUGGACUGUGUGGAUUCAAUAACAUGGCACAUCAGGUCAACAUCAGUGGACACUAGUGCACAGUGUAUCCUAAUGCCAUCAAGUUAUAAAGGGACAGAACCCAUCUAUAUUUCUGGAGUGAUGAGAGGAUCCCAAAAGCUAACUGUAUUGGAGACCAAAGUGAGCCUAACUGGGAAUGAGUGGCAAAAGUAAUCCAUUGUAACUGGCCCAGAGGCUCUGUGCAUCCUUGGCAAUGCUAAAAUUUGAAUACGACCUGAAGUCAAAGGCAGCCCAGUGGUAUGCCACAAUUUCACUUGGACUGACAUCUAAUCCACCUGGAAUUGUCUGCCCCAUGGUUGGAAACACAGCCCUACCAUUUGUCAUGGGCAAAUACAUUGAUGACAUCAUUGUGUGAGGCAAAUUUUUGAGUAAGGGAAGAAAAAAAUCCAGAUCCUUCUGAAAGUCGGUUUUGCCAUAAAACUAAGUAAGGUCAAGGUAUCUGCACA